AUUGAACGCUGGCGGCAUGCCUUACACAUGCAAGUCGAACGGCAGCACGGGGUGCAACCCUGGUGGCGAGUGGCGAACGGGUGAGUAAUACAUCGGAACGUGCCCAGUCGUGGGGGAUAACGUAGCGAAAGUUACGCUAAUACCGCAUACGAUCUCUGGAUGAAAGCGGGGGACCGCAAGGCCUCGCGCGAUUGGAGCGGCCGAUGGCAGAUUAGGUAGUUGGUGGGGUAAAAGCUUACCAAGCCUCCGAUCUGUAGCUGGUCUGAGAGGACGAUCAGCCACACUGGGACUGAGACACGGCCCAGACUCCUACGGGAGGCAGCAGUGGGGAAUUUUGGACAAUGGGCGAAAGCCUGAUCCAGCAAUGCCGCGUGCAGGACGAAGGCCUUCGGGUUGUAAACUGCUUUUGUACGGAGCGAAACGGCUCCCACUAAUACUGGGGGCUAAUGACGGUACCGUAAGAAUAAGCACCGGCUAACUACGUGCCAGCAGCCGCCGUAA
rnacentral:rRNA from 1 species